UUUAUAUAGGUCCCUACAAAUAUAGUAAAUUACAAAUAUUUCCAUACAAAGUUCAAAUUUCAUAUGUUGUCCAGCUAAAAGUCCUAAUAUAUUCAAAUAUGUUUUUGCCGUUAGAAUCCGUUAGAAAAAUUUAGUUAAUCAUAGAUUAAAUACUCAACCAUAAUUUUUUAAUGAGAUGAGUUGACAUUUUUAUCCUUUUUAUAUUAUACCUUUUUUUCUCAAUCAAAACCCUAGCAAUAAAACCUCUUUUUUUUCUUCCUCUACCUCUUCCUCUCUCUACUUCAUGCUAGUUUUGAACCUAUCUCCAUUAAUCCACGACCGGAUGUUGCUUCGCCAAUAUCAAACAUGCGUUGCCUUUUCAUUCAAUUUUUUUUUAUAAUUUUUUUUUUUGGUGCUCGAAAGAAAAGAUUUAUGUGAGAAAAAAAGUAAGAAAAGAGGUUGCAAUAAUGAUAAAAUGGGUUGGAAUUUUAAAAAGAAGAAGAUGAGGAAAAAAAUGAACAUUGAAAAUUUUUUGGAGGACAUUUAUGUAUGAUUAUAGCUAUUAUAGAUUUUGGAGGGACAUAUUUGUGAUGGUAAAAAAGUUAUUUCACUUAUCUACUGUUAAGAAAUAAAUAAUACUUUAACGGUAACAAACCAGAGAGAUAUAUUUAAAAAUAUCAUGACUUUUGUAGGGACAACAUAUGAUAGUUGAACUUUAUGAAAAUAUAUUUGUAAUUCACUAUAUUUACAGAGACCUAUAUGAAGUUAGCCUUUUAAAAUUUUAUAGAAUAAAUUUUAACUUCUAGUAAAUUAAUUAAAAAAUUAUUAUUUCUCUUUGUCUUUCUUGCUAUCUCGUUUAAUUUU
rnacentral:lncRNA from 1 species